rnacentral:rRNA from 1 species
GACGAACGCUGGCGGCGUGCCUAAUACAUGCAAGUAGGACGAAGUUGCGAACGGGAGAGUAAAGCGUAGGUAACUACCUAUUAGAGGGGGAUAACUAUUGGAAACGAUAGCUAAUACCGCAUACUAGUAGAUGGAACUGCGUUGUAUUAGCUAGUAGGUAGGGUAAUGGACUACCUAGGCAACGAUAAAUAGCCGACCGGAGAGGGUGAUCGGCCACACUGGGACUGAGACACGGCCCAGACUCCUACGGUAGGCAGCAGUAGGGAAUCUUCGGCAAUGGGGGGAACUCUGACCGAGCAACGCCGCGUGAGUGAAGAAGGUUUUCGGGUCGUAAAGCUCUGUUGUUAAGGACGCGGUACUUAACCAGAAAGCGACGGCUAACUACGUGCCAGCAGCCGCGGUAAUUC